GCGGGAGUGGUGUAACGGUAGCACGCCAGACUCCAAAUCACGAGGUGCCGGUUCGACUCCGGUCUCCCGCUCCA
rnacentral:tRNA from 1 species